rnacentral:rRNA from 1 species
UACGAAGGGGGCUAGCGUUGUUCGGAAUCACUGGGCGUAAAGCGCACGUAGGCGGACCUUCAAGUCAGGGGUGAAAUCCCGGGGCUCAACCUCGGAACUGCCUUUGAUACUGUUGGUCUUGAGUCCGGAAGAGGUGGGUGGAAUUCCUAGUGUAGAGGUGAAAUUCGUAGAUAUUAGGAAGAACACCGGCGGCGAAGGCGGCCCACUGGUCCGGUACUGACGCUGAGGUGCGAAAGCGUGGGGAGCAAACAGG